CAGGUGUUGCUGUCUGAGACUCUGCCCUCUUUAGGAAUUGUAACCAUUGUGUUAAUUUGUCUACAACCUGCAGCCUCUUUUAUGAUUGACAGACCGUGGAUGAGAUAUAGCUGAAGGCACUUCUUUUUAUUCCCAUGGAGUUGUAUGACUCAUUUGUUUCUCUCCACUCAUUUUUAUUCCAUUUGGGAAGAUAAGGGCUUUUAACUUCGUAUCAUAUUUAUCAGUCUCAUCACCAACUUGGCUACACUAAUGGACACAUUGAGGCAUGUCAUGAAAGCAGACACUACCAGGCCAAGAGAAGAAAUUAUAUGACCUUUGUGAGGCCAGUUCUCCUAAGCUCACCAGCGGGGAGUCCA